UGUGUAGGCGGCCACGCAAGUCGGAUGUGAAAGCCCUGGGCUCAACCCAGGAAGUGCACCCGAAAACUGCAUGGCUUGAGUCUCGGGAGAGGUUGGUGGAAUUCUCGGUGUAGAGGUGAAAUUCGUAGAUAUCGAGAGGAACACCGGUGGACGAAGGCGGCCAACUGGACGAAGACUGACGCUGAGACACGAAAGCGUGGGGGAGCAAACAGGAUUAGAUACCCUGGUAGUCCACGCCGUAAACGAUGGGUGCUAGGUGUCACGGGCAUUGACUCCCGUGGUGCCGUAGCAAACGCAUUAAGCACCCCGCCUGGGAAGUACGGCCGCAAGGCUAAA
rnacentral:rRNA from 1 species